GGGCCAUUAGCUCAGUUGGUUAGAGUAGAAGACUCAUAAUCUUUUGGUCGAUGGUUCGAGCCCAUCAUGGCCCACCA
rnacentral:tRNA from 1 species